AGGGUUUAAUGUUCACCCCCUAUACCUCCCUCCUUCCUUCCCUCCUAAACAUCCCAGGCUAAAGGGGAAACCCAUCUCCUCUCUUCCCUCUGUGCUGGCUUCCUGCUGACAUCAUAACAUACCUUCAUGAGGUACUAGGGGUUGUUCCACAUCAAGGGGGGUGUCCCACAUCAAGGAGGGUCCCUGAGCCACUUCCCAGCAAGGGCUGGGGUCUGUGGGGUCUCCCCUGUGUGUAGCUGUUCAGAGCCAGGGCAGAGAAGCUCUGGUGUCACACAGCAGGGAAAGGAGAAGGAAAUGUCCCUUCUGGAAGUGAGCAAGGAAGAGAGAAAGACAGAAUUCCUAUGCACAGAUGGCAGCUUUCAAAUGCAGCCUGGUCUGGUUUCAGAGAGCAGAAAGAACGACCUCUAAUGCACUGUUCAUUUGCUGCAGGGCAGCUUCCAGACUUUGAGAGAACAGCAGAAGAGGACACUUGAGUAAAAUUCUGAGUGCGGGUUCAGCCUUUUCAUAGCAAUCUUUCCUGUCUGACUCUUGCUUCCAGCUCUCUGCUGGCUCAUCCUGCUGAAAAUGUAUUUUGGGCCUCAUUGUCCAGUGGAAAGGACAGUUUAUGUGAAAAAUCGGUGCACUGGAGGACUGC